UCGAGGAUCAUUCACAAUGCGCGAAAGCGUGAUGAUGUGACGCUGCGUGGAGGAUGAAGGCCUUCGGGUCGUAAACUCCUGUCAUGAGAGAAAAAUCGCGACCAUGUGAACAGCCUGGUUGUUUGAUGGUAUCUCAGGAGGAAGCCACGGCUAACUCUGUGCCAGCAGCCGCGGUAAUACAGAGGUGGCGAGCGUUGUUCGGAUUAACUGGGCGUAAAGCGUGCGUAGGUGGUUUCGUAUGUUGGUUGUGAAAGCCCUCGGCUUAACCGUGGAGUUGCAUUCGAAACUGCGGAACUUGAGUGCAGGAGGGGAGAGCGGAAUUCUUGGUGUAGCGGUGAAAUGCGUUGAUAUCAAGAAGAACACCGGUGGCGAAGGCGGCUCUCUGGAAUGUAACUGACACUGAGGCACGAAAGCUGGGGGAGCAAACA
rnacentral:rRNA from 1 species